UUCGCCUUUCGAGACACGAAAACACGAAAUGGCAGAAAACAGCCACCAUAUGAUAGUGAUAGGGCGCUAUAACAACGCUCCGAGUCAACACAUUUAUAGUUUUGUAUUUUUUCGACCGCUUUAGUCUGUGAUUAACCAGUCUGAAAGAAAAUGAAGGUCAGUGCAGUUUUCAGUCUGCUGUGUAUGUGCUUAAUUGCAGCACGUAAUGGUGCCACAGCAGCUACAACGACAACGACUACCACAACUGAUGCCACAACUACUGCUGUUGGAAAUGGUGGCGACUCGACGACUACAAGUUGUCGUUCAACUGCGGAACUUCUCUUGGCAGGCGGAUUGUUAGCAUUUGUUUACAAUAAAGUUUAAUGUGACAACAAAACAAAAAACGACAA